UACGUAGGGGGCAAGCGUUGUCCGGAUUUAUUGGGCGUAAAGAGCGUGUAGGCGGCUAGAUAGGUCCGUUGUGAAAACUCGAGGCUCAACCUCGAGACGUCGAUGGAAACCAUCUGGCUAGAGUCCGGAAGAGGAGAGUGGAAUUCCUGGUGUAGCGGUGAAAUGCGCAGAUAUCAGGAAGAACACCCGUGGCGAAGGCGGCUCUCUGGGACGGUACUGUCGCUGAGACGCGAAAGCGUGGGGAGCGAACAGG
rnacentral:rRNA from 1 species